rnacentral:misc_RNA from 1 species
CAACCCUCAAGCUCAGCUUGGUGUUGGACGGCCGGUCGAGCGAUCGACCCCUCCUAAAGACAAUGACGGCGGCCUGCGGUUCCCCCGGUACACUGAGCUUUUCACCGAGCACGUACCGGACCAGGGCACCCGGGACCCGGUCCUCUCCUUUCACUAGGAAACUUCUAU